UUCUCCUGCACGGUUCACAGAAACGCGGUAUACCUUCCCUGAUCCCCCACUUCCAAUCAGAUUAUUUUCUGUCAAACUUGGCAAAAUGUUUGCUUGUGUGAAACCUACUUUCUGGAAUGAGGUCAGUUUCCAUAACGCCAGUUCACGUUUAUGCUUCUUUGUCAGAUAGUCUCUAACUGCAAACAUGGUUAAUAUAGCAGUAACUAUGAAGAUAGUUAUGGCAAGAACAAGGAUCAUCGCAAGAAAUUUAGAGGACAGUUUGUUGGAACUUCUAGGUCUGAAAUAGCAAUUUGGAAGGUUUAGAACUGGAUUAACAGCACAAAGAUUAGAAUUGUUCAGAAAGCUGUUU
rnacentral:lncRNA from 1 species